rnacentral:tRNA from 1 species
UAGAGGAUAGAAUAAUGGAGUUCUAAAGAUUUUGAGUCUUUAUGUGCAGGUUCGAGUCCUGUUUUUCUAA